AGCCAGGUGUCACCCAUCUUGUAUUUGUGCCUCUCAUUUUUUUGCCCAAGUGCAAUACUUUACAUUUCUCCCUGUUAAAAUUCAUCUUGUUUGUUUUGGCCCAGUUCUCUAAUCUGUCAAGGUCAUUUUGAAGUGUGAUCCUGUCCUCUGGGGUGUUAGCCACCCCUCCCAGUUUGGUGUCAUCUGCAAAUUUGAUCAGGAUGCCCUUGAGUCCAUCAUCCAAGUCGUUGAUAAAGAUGUUGAAUAAGACCGGGCCCAGACAGAACCCUGUGGCACCCCACUAAUCACUCUUCUCAAGGAUGAAGAGGAACCAUUGAUGAGCACCCUUUGGGUUCGGUCAGUCAGCCAGUUACAAAUCCACUGAGUGGUAGCAUAGUCAAGACCGCAUUUUACCAGCUUCUUUACAAGAAUAUCAUGGGGCACCUUGUCAAAUGCCUUGCUGAAAUCAAGGUAGGCUACAUCCACUGCGUUCCCUUCAUCUACCAGGCUUGUAAUUCUGUCAAAAACGAGAUCAGGUUAGUCUGACAUGACUUAUUUUUCAGAAAUCCAUGCUGACUAUUGGUGAUCACAGCAUUCCUUUCUAGGUGCUCACAGACUGUUUGCUUAAUGAUCUGCUCCAGAAUCUUCCCUGGUAUUGAUGUCAGACUGACUGGGCGGUAAUUAUUUGGGUCCUCUCUUUUCCCCUUUUUGAAAAUAGGGACAACAUUUGCCCUCCUCCAGUCUGCCGGGACUUCGCCUGUUCUCCAGGAAUUCUCAAAGAUGACUGCCGGUGGUUCUGAGAUCACAUCUGCCAGUUCUUUUAAUACUCUUGGAUGCAGUUCAUCUGGCCCUGGAGACUUGAAUACAUCUAGACUAGCCAAGUAUUCUUGUACUAUCUCCUUAGUUAUUCUGGGCUGUGUUUCCUCUGCUGAAUCAUUUGCUCCAAAUUCUUCAGGUCGGGCAUUGUUUUCUUUAUCGGAGAAGACUGAGGCAAAGAAGGCAUUGAGGAAUUCAGUCCUUUCUGUGUCCCCUGUUUGCAUUUCACCAUCUUCUCCUCUGAGUGACCCGACUGUUUCUUUGUUCUUCCUUUUGCUACGAACAUACCCAUAAAAGCCUUUUUUGUUGCUUUUAACCUCUCUAGCAAGCCUGAGUUCAUUCUGUGCUUUAGCUUUUCUGACUUUGUGUCUACACAUGCUGGCUAUUUGUUUGAAUUCCUCUUUGGUGGUUUCGCCCUUUUCCAUUUUUGUACACAUCCUUUUUAAUCUUAACUCAGUUAAAAGUUCUUUAGAUAGCCACCCUGGCUUCUUUAGGCACCUUCCAUGUUUCCGUCUCAUUGGUAUUGCCUGAAGUUGUGCUUUUACUAUCUCCUCUUAACAAACUCCCAGCCAUCAUGAACUCCCUUUCCUUUUAGUAUUACUGUCCAUGGGAUCUCACCCAGCACUUCCCUAAGUUUUAUGAAGUCGGCUUUCUUAAAGUCAAGAAAUUGAGUCCUAGUAUGCUUGGCUGCUCCUUUCCGCUGUAUAGUAAACUUCAGAAGAGCAUGAUCACUCGCGCCUAAUGAUCCUUCCACUUCUACCCCACUAACCAGGUCAUCAACAUUGGUUAGGACCAGAUCUAAAAUGGCUGUUGCUCUUGUUGCUUCUCCCACUUUCUGGACAAUGAAGUUGUCUGCAAGGCCAGUGAGGAAUCUGUUUGACCUUAAGCUCUUGGCUGAGUUUGACAACCAACAAAUAUCCGGGUAAUUGAAGUCCCCCAUUACUACUAUCUCCCUUCCUUUUGCAUGCUUGGCCAUCUGUUCCAGGAAGGCAUCAUCUAUGUCCUCCGUUUGGCUUGGGGAUCUAUAGUAAACUCCCACAAUGAGGUCACUGUUAUUCUUCUCUCCCUUAAUUUUGACCCAAAUGCUCUCACUUUGGCUUUGAGGUUCUAAAUCUUGGAUCUCUUCACAGGUAUACACAUCCCAGAUGGCGGACAUUCCCAGAACUACCUGGAAAUGCAUGUGAAGCAGGUGUUCUAGCACCAAGCUAUGCUCUUUCCAUAUAGCAUAGAGAGCAGGACACACACACACCAUUUGGAUUGCAUGUAGCAAACAACCAGCAGAAAGCAGCGACACAAUUGGUGGUGAUUAUCCAGAAAAAUGGUCAUCUUGAGCUUGAAGCAACCUUAAUAAUUCUGCAAGCAACAACAGUGGCAGCUCCAGUGGGCUUCAGGGAAACAAAUAAGAUGAGUUAAUCUGUGGUCAUCAGACCAGGCUAUGAAGACCUGGAUUAAUGUACUGGUUGUGAAUGUGAACUAGGAAGUCUCUGGUUCAGAACUUUGCAGAGAAGAUGAUGAUUACCAAAUUAGACCAAAUGUUAUUCUGGUCCAGCAUCUGUAUUCACAAUUCACAAACUAUAUACUUCUGAAAUUUGGCCAUCCCUAGUCUGGAAUAUUUCCACCAAUCUAGAAAAUAAUUUUGAUUAGACUAAAUAACUCUUGUAUAGAAACCGUGGAGUUGUAUGCUAAUAAAUAUUAUGUCAUAAGUAAGGUUAUUCUGUUGUUUAGUCGUUUAGUCAUGUCCGACUCUUCGUGACCCCAUGGACCAAAGCACGCCAGGCACUCCUGUCUUCCACUGCCUCCCGCAGUUUGAUCAAACUCAUGCUGGUAGCUUCGAGAACACUGUCCAACCAUCUUGUCCUCUGUCGUCCCCUUCUCCUUGUGCCCUCCAUCUUUCCCAACAUCAGGGUCUUUUCCAGGCAGUAUGCUCUACUCAUGAGGUGGCCAAAGUAUUAGAGCCUCAGCUACAGGAUCUGUCCUUCCAGUGAGCACUCAGGGCUGAUUUCCUUAAGAAUGGAUAGGUUUGAUCUUCUUGCAGUCCAUGGGACUCUCAAGAGUCUCCUCCAGCACCAUAAUUCAAAAGCAUCAAUUCUUCGGCGAUCAGCCUUCUUUAUGGUCCAGCUCUCACUUCCAUACAUCACUACUGGGAAAACCAUAGCUUUAACUAAUAAAGAAGAAAUUGUCUCCUGUGUUUCAUCUUCCUUUUGUAAAUAUCAUCAAAGCAUUUUGCUGAGGCCGCGUCACUGAAGAGCGGAAUGCCAAAAUAAAUAUUGCAGUCCAAAUUACUAUAGCAAAGAGAACAAAACGUUACCUAAUACCAAGAUCACUAAGCUCUCAUCCAGGGAGGUUCCUGUAAUAACUGUUCAUAGUGAGUGCCAUUUAAACUGGUGAAGGAUUAACACCUAUUGGUCACUGCUGUGUUUGUUUGAAUGGACCAGGGAAGUAUAUGCAAUAAUAUAACCUAAAAUAUAAAUGAUAUAAACUGAAAGUAGAAUUUCCUAUAGCAGCUUAAAGAGCAUACAUGACACUGUUGAAGAGAGACAAAAUGUAAAACAUUUCCAGUGUUUCUUUCCUUCUUUUGUUUAAUUUCUCUUUAAUCUAAGAGCAAUAUAGGAGAUCUUGGUUUUGGGGAUACAGACCACUAUC